CAGCCGCCGCGGUAAUACAGAGGGUGCAAGCGUUAAUCGGAUUUACUGGGCGUAAAGGGCGCGUAGGUGGUUAUGUAAGUGAGAUGUGAAAUCCCCGGGCUCAACCUGGGAACUGCAUCUUAUACUGCGUAGCUGGAGUGCAGUAGAGGGUAGUGGAAUUUCCGGUGUAGCGGUGAAAUGCGUAGAUAUCGGAAGGAACACCAGUGGCGAAGGCGGCUACCUGGACUGACACUGACACUGAGGCGCGAAAGCGUGGGGAGCAAACAGGAUUAGAUACCCCCGUAGUCCCUGUCUCUUAUAU
rnacentral:rRNA from 1 species